AAGACGGCACAUUGCAACGGAAAGCCUGAGCACACAGAAAUGACAAAAUGCCAAGAUAAUUUUAUUCAACUAAAGAAGGGUACAUAAGAUUGAAAUUGGAAAUGACGAUCUAGUCUAGUAGGGGAGGAGCCCCCCUACCUAGCCAACUUAAGUAUCUUAGAUAAAACUGUUAACUAAUUAAUAAUAUUAUGGAAUAGGGUUGAAAGAAAAUCAACAUAAGCAAUGGCAAUGAUGAUGAUCGCCAAAUAGUUUGCAGAUGCCUCCUUUCUCACAAUCUGAAGUGCAAAAUGUCCAGC
rnacentral:lncRNA from 1 species